UACGGGGGGGGCAAGCGUUGUUCGGAAUUACUGGGCGUAAAGGGCUCGUAGGUGGCCAACUAAGUCAGACGUGAAAUCCCUCGGCUUAACCGGGGAACUGCGUCUGAUACUGGAUGGCUAGAGAUUGGGAGAGGGAUGCGGAAUUCCAGGUGUAGCGGUGAAAUGCGUAGAUAUCUGGAGGAACACCGGUGGCGAAGGCGACAUCCUGGACCGGUAUUGACGCUGAGGCGCGAAAGCCAGGGGAGCAAACGGG
rnacentral:rRNA from 1 species